rnacentral:sRNA from 1 species
CUUCAGCAACUCUAAGCAGCCUCCCCCAGGAAAAACUGAUCCUGCUACAGCUCCACCAUGAAGUUCUUCUUGGUCCUGCUGCCGGCCAGCCUAGCCUCCACCUCUCUCGCCAUCCUUGAUGUUGAAUCUGGCCUCCUUCCACAACUCUCGGUCCCCUAAGGGUUAUUGAGCUGUCAGCUGGAGAGACCUCAGCACUAGAAAGGACCUUCCUUAAUCCUCGUAAUAUGCUGUGUGGAGAGGUGGAAAGCUGCAGAACCAAAAGUUCACACCUGGGAUGACCUAGAGCCAGAAGGUGAAAUUCACUCGGAGACUCAGCUUGCAGAUGGCUUACUCCUCAGCAACCGCCUCAGAGGGAAAACUUGCCAAACUGGCCCAUAAAAUCGGGAAGAAUCUGGACAAAGCAUUGAAAGGAAUCAUAAACUAUCUGAAAAACCUAAUCCCUAGCGCCAAUGAUGUCAUGAGGCCCUAAUGAUGAGGGUGCCUGAAUUCCAGGCUAGGCCAUGGGAGACGCCACAUCCCAAAACCAUCUUUCGGCUCCUCAAAUUCAUGUAUU